rnacentral:pre_miRNA from 1 species
GUCAGAGGCUGGGUCUUUGCGGGCAAGGUGAGUCCUCAAUUUGUUCAACUGGCCUACAAAGUCCCAGUUUCUGGC